rnacentral:rRNA from 1 species
AUACGUAGGUGACAAGCGUUAUCCGGAUUUACUGGGCGUAAAGGGCGUGCAGGCGGUCUUGCAAGUCAGAAGUGAAAUUCCUGAGCUCAACUCGGGCGCUGCUUCUGAAACUGCAGGACUUGAGUGCUGGAGGGGAUAGCGGAAUUCCUAGUGGAGCGGUAAAAUGCGCAGAUAUUAGGAAGAACACCGGUGGCGAAGGCGGCUAUCUGGACAGUAACUGACGCUGAGGCGCGAAAGCGUGGGGAGCAAACAGGAUUAGAUCCCCUGGUAGUCCACGCCGUAAACGAUGAAUACUAGGUGUAGGGGGUAUCGACUCCCUCUGUGCCGCAGUUAACACAAUAAGUAUUCCGCCUGGGGAGUACGGCCGCAAGGUUGAAACUUAAAGGAAUUGACGGGG